UGUUAUCUCUCCGCUUGCACUGUCCUUCUUCUACCUCUCGCUCUUUCCCUAUCAUCCAUAAUUCAUAUUGAUCGUAUAAAACGUUCAUUAUUCUGCUUGAGGAUCGAGAUUUCUCGAUCAUGCAACUAUAUUAAUUCCUACUCUUCAUAUCUAUCUAUAUCUCUAUCCCUAUCCCUCUCCGUAAAGUUCUAGGGUUUCGAUUAUAAUCCUGCAUUUACCUUCCAAUUUUAGUUGCAUAAUACUGCAAUAAUAUAACUUCUCCUUUUUUUUUCUGUUUCUUUUGUUGUUUGAGCUGGAAUUGCUAUCGGAUAUGAUUUCGUUCCUAGGUAGGUUUUUUACUUGAUUUAUUCACAUUUUCGUUCUUCAAUUUAGAGAUUUUGGGUGGUUCGUUUGUUUUUUUGUUUUCUGUGGAAUUUAGCAUUUCAAGUAUAUAUAUAUAUAUAUAUGGCGGCUGGUGGACAUGGAGGUUAUAGCGAAAACGAGUUGAGGGAGCGUGAGUCCAAUUUUGAUGUUUCAAGACGUGGUGUUAGUAAUAAUUCUAGAGAAAAGUAUGAUAGGAUUAGGAAUGGUAGCCGCGAUGUUGCGAGGGUUGGGAACAAGGAUGCAAGAGAUAGGAUUAGACCGAGACAGAAAGAUAUUAGAUUGAGAGAAGCUUCGAAUGGCAGUUACCGGUCAUCAUCGAGUGGGAGUGACUCGGGCUCCGGCGGCAGUGGCGGGCUUGGGCCAAGACGAUGUGGGUUUUCUGUUAAGACUAUGGACAGAGAACCAGGUGAGCUUUCUAGUGAGAGUGGGUCUGAUGAUGCAAUUGAAUCAGAAUCAGUGGUGAAAUACUGUGAGGUUGCAAGGGGUGAAGAAAACGGGACUCAAUCUCCACUAGACAGGAAAAGAAAAUUUUCACCAAUAGUGUGGGAUAAGGAUGAUGAAGAAGUGAAUGAUUUAUGCAAACAUAGGGUAGCUACAACAGUGACUGCUCUUCCCCCUCCAUCCCCAGUUUCUAGAGUAAUCCGUCAGUCAGCUAAUGUUCCUUACAAUGGAGUUGAAAUUCAUCCUGUACAAAACAGAGAAGCUGAGAGUAUUGAGUUGCCGACUGGUACUAAUUCUUCAUUGAUGUCUGAGUCAAUUAAAGAUGCUGAAUCUGAGUCUCUUGCAGGUUUGCAUUCAUUUUUGCCUGAGCAGAGGUUGGGUAAUGAGCCGGAAGCUGAGCUAUCAGAAGGUGAGGAUUAUGUUCCAACUCAUAAUAUAUUAUCUUCAAGAUGGGCAGCUGGAGAUAACUCUCCCGUUGAUGAAGGUGAAAUCAAUGAUGUCAAGGAAAUCCUUAAAUCGAGGAGGAGGCUCUCUCCUGAGCUGGGUACGAGAGUAAGAACCAAGAUGUUGAGACCAGAGGAAUCUAAAAUAGAAGGUUUUGAAGGGGUUAGAUCUAUAUCAUCUGAAUCUGAAGAAAGAGGUAGCGGAGGGAGAUCGUCCAGUGGAGAUGAUCAAUCGGAGAAGGAUGACUAUAUGGAGAUUGAUGGUCAAGGUUGCAACAGUGAAACUAGUAGUAAUCACUCAGAUACAGACUCUGAAGAUGAAGAUGAUAGCCGGAAAACUCCAGAACCUCCGGCUCCGGCACAAAGAGUUGUCAACAUGCUUCAGGGUUGUAGAAGUGUUGAUGAAUUUGAGAGACUGAACAAGAUAGAUGAAGGAACAUAUGGUGUUGUAUAUAGGGCCAAAGAUAAGAAGACUGGGGAAAUUGUGGCAUUGAAGAAAGUGAAGAUGGAGAAGGAAAAAGAAGGCUUUCCCCUGACUUCUCUUAGAGAAAUAAACAUUCUUCUUUCCUUUCACCACCCAUCAGUAGUUGACGUUAAAGAAGUGGUGGUAGGGAGUAGCCUUGACAGUAUUUUCAUGGUAAUGGAAUACAUGGAACAUGAUCUUAAAGGAUUAAUGGAGGCAAUGAAGCAGCCAUUUAGCCAGAGUGAAGUAAAAUGCUUAAUGCUCCAGCUUUUGGAAGGUGUGAAGUAUCUUCAUGACAACUGGGUUCUUCAUAGGGAUUUGAAGACGUCAAAUCUGCUUCUGAAUAAUCGGGGUGAGUUAAAAAUUUGUGAUUUUGGAUUGGCUCGGCAGUAUGGGAGUCCAUUGAAACCAUAUACACACCUUGUAGUUACUCUUUGGUACAGGGCUCCUGAACUUCUUCUGGGGACAAAACAGUAUUCGACAGCCAUUGACAUGUGGUCUCUGGGUUGUAUAAUGGCUGAACUUUUGUCCAAGGAACCACUAUUUAAUGGGAAGGCUGAAUUUGAUCAACUUGACAAGAUUUUCAGAAUUCUUGGCACACCAAAUGAAUCUAUUUGGCCUGGGUUCUCAGAAUUACCUCGAGUCAAGGUCAAUUUUGUCAAGCAUCAGUAUAAUCUCCUGCGUAAAAAGUUUCCUGCAACAUCAUUCACUGGAUCUCCAGUUCUUUCUGAUUCUGGAUUUGAUUUGUUGAACAAGCUUCUUACUUAUGAUCCCAAAAAGCGGAUCACAGCUGAAGCUGCUCUUAACCACGAGUGGUUUCGUGAAGUUCCCCUUCCUAAGUCUAAAGAAUUCAUGCCUACAUUCCCUGCUCAACAUGCUCAAGACAGGCGGAUGCGGAGAAUAUUAAGGAGUCCGGAUCCAUUAAAGGAGCAGCGACGGAAGGAGUUACAGCAGGGUGAAUCAGGGACUGGUGGUAUUUUUGGUUAAGAAUUGUGCAAUCUAAAAUUUUGGUCUCGAUAAUCAUUCUAACACAAUCUGCUGAAUUUUUGCAUGCUUGAGGUGAGAGUAUGCACUAAACAGAAGCUGCAAACCUUGUUUGUUAGAUGAUCACUUGUGCUGUUUUUUAUCAGGCACUUGUUGGUUUAUGUCGAGAUAUGUAUUCUUUACCUCCUGGGAACCAGAUUUAUUUCAGGUUAACCUUCUUCAUUCUUGAUCGUCAUAUAGAAAUGGACAUGGGUCACUGUUGCAGUUCAAGGUGGGGCAUAAUUGCCUUCUGAAAAUAGGAAUAGUUAACGUCUGCUGAAACUUGUUUCGUGUGAUGUGGAAGAUUGCAUUCUGUCCAUUUCGUUGAAGAAAAUGAUAUUUACUUUUUACAUCAAAGUAUCAAUUAUCAAAGCUAGCAGGUUGAGGAUGUUACCUGUAUACCCUGGAAUAUAUGAAACUUUGUUCCAUCAGGCUCUCUCGAGGUACCAUGCAAACCUUGAUUUGUUUUAUUACGUUUCUGAAGUUCUUUCGACUACUUGGGAUUUUAAGAACAUAAUCAUUUAUUUAUUUCUGUUGUGCAUGUUCUAGUAAAUCCUUAUGUUGUUUAUUAAUUUUUUUUAGAUUAAUAUUGAAGGGAUAUUUGAUGGAUUGUAACAUUGCAGUUUUAUUGCUUGCUUAAAUGUGCUGUUAAAUUGGACGGUCAAUCAAAUUAUUUUUGGGAAAACCAUAUUCAUUAAAAGGAAUUACCCAGGAUGAAGGUUGUGAAGCUUUGCCUGAGCUAAUUGGAAGAGAAUUGACCUGGGUCUGGAUUAAAUAUAUUUCUAAUUUUUAAUUUCUUCUAGAUCUAACAACUGUAACCAGAUUUUUUGGGUUAAGUUCAGUCAAAUGUGCAUCAUCGCCAAAUAACUAAGGUUGAAAUAAAGAAUUUAGCAACAUACUAAAAAUUUCAUCUUUAUGUGGAUUGAUGGUAAAUCAGGGACAGAGUAUCCAUUAGCCAUAUUUUUUAAAAUUAUUUAUUGAUAUGCCACAAGCUGGAAUUCUAUUUUCAAAAUGCCACACUUAAAUCCUGCUGGCCGACCAGCGAAACCGCUUUUGACACGGGGCAGGCGCAGGAAGUCCUGCUGAGUAGGAUUUGGUGUGGCAUUUUGAAGAUUUACUCGUGGCAUAUCAAUAAAUAAUUUUACAAAAUGUUAAGCCACCUUUAUGAAUGAGAGAUGUUUGUUGAUUUAUGGCUGAAUGUUCCUCCGUUUAGCGCAUGGGAAUGGGAGGUUUACUCCCUUCUUGGUCGAAUGUUACUAUGAUAAAAAGUAAUUAUUGAGUUCUCAUUAGUAACUAGUAUGAUGUAUGAGUAGAUAACU